ensembl:lncRNA
GGAACAGAAGUGCGUAUUCACUCUGCCUCUGAGCAUUCUUGACUCUAACAUUCAACACAGUUCCUUAGUGAACUCUGGGACUUUCCAAGACCGAUGUUGCAGACAAGGCUAUAGCAAAGGCAGGCUGAGAAGAGCACCAAAUACACAGAAACGCAGCGGAAACACCUGGGUCAGCAGGGCAGACUGCUGCCUCCUAAGAGAAACUACAGUAGCAGAGGAGGAAAGGAAGUAAGAGUGACGAUGGUAGGCGGUUUCUAGUUGCAAACUCCAGACCAUAAUGCCCUUUCAACCAGGUCUGCAACGUCAACGAGAAACAACAUGGAAAACCUGCCCAUUUUUUAUCUACAACCUGUAGGAGUGCUUGAUCUUCACUGGGAGAAACAUGAAUUUCAAGAUUCAAGAUCCAAAUGUGACUCCUGUUUGGGCAGACUGGAGUUCAUCUUUCCAGUGGGCUGGUGAUAAAGAUUCUUUAAAAAACAUCUCUGUGGUUCUCACGCAUAGGAGACAAUACAAGGAUGAUCUGAAAGUCAUGAUGGCAGAUGUACAACAACAGAAGCUUUCUUGGCUUCCUGUUCAGGAAACAAGGAGAAGAAAGUGUCGAGUCGGUUACUCUCACUGUGACCUCCCUCAGUCUUCUCAGAAAGAGGUUCUUCACCACUCCUCAGGGGGUGAGGCUUUGGACCAGGCUGCCCAGGGAGGUGGUGCAGCCAUCAUCCCUGGGUGUGCUCAAGGAUAGAUGUGGCACUGAGGGACAUGGUCAGCGGGCACGGUGGGUAUGGGUUGAUGGUUGGACUGGAUGAUUUUAGUGGUCUUUUCCAACUGUAACAAUUCUAUAGUUUUACGGAGACAUAAGACUGUGAGCUGCAGGCUCUGUUCCCAUCGUGAGCUAAUGGCAGACAGUCACGGUGAACCAAAGAGAGAUUAAAUGCUUCAGACAGCAUGGGUGGAGGCGGGCCCUCCACGUGGUCCAAAGGUCAUGCAGAGCUGGAUGCAGGCUGUUUUGUACCAUAUCAAAUCCCAGAAGACCUGCUGAGAUAUCGCAUCACUGCAGCCCUUCUCUGGGGCAGCAGAAAAGUCUGGGGUACCUGCCUACCUCCUUGUUAGCUACUACUAGGAUUUAUACUGUCAUAUGGGGAAUGAGCUCAGAUGGCUCUGGGGACUGCAUAUGGGAUGUUAACUUUUCAUCUUCAAGUCACCUCACAGCUGCUGGAUGGGACUACAGCAUGUGUAAGAUGGUCGAAGGAGGAGGCACAGUCCCAUACUACAUGCCCAUGUACAUACCCAUGAACCUCUGUGCAAUUAGUACUAAUUGACCCUCCCCUUGGAAACCACUGCUGAGCAGCCUAAGUGGCCACAUACACAGACCUGAACUGCUGUACAUCUCUCUUAAUAAAACUCAGGUAUUUGGCUUGAAAAAUCCAUUUUGGAGCUCUUGGUUUGAAAAGGUUAAGCACGCCCUGCAGCCAAUUUCAUGCCUUCCUUAAGUGUCAACAUUUGGCUGGUCAAAUAAUUGGGCAAAAAAAAGACUGGAUAAUUUCCAGUGAGUUUAUAGGACAGAUGCUCUGAAAGCCUUCUACCUCCCCCAUCAGGCUGCCCUGCCAUCUAUAUAAAAAUGAGCAGAUAUAAGUGCCAAUUAAAAAAAUAACACCAAAGAAGCAACAAGAUAAAACAAGCUCCAUCCUCUUACGGUAGAUAUCUGGACUGCAAUAUAGAACCUUAAAAAUAUCAUUCCUUGAAGUGUCAUCUCUGUACCUUUAGAGUACAUUUUGCCCAGCUCGGGUUCCCAAGGCUUCCUCAACCCCUCCAUCCCAUAAAAACACAUUUUGUUUCAUUUUGCAUCUGAAUAAGGUGGUUCAGCAUUCUGAGAAAAAUGGUAUUUGGGCAGCAGGUUCUCUUUCAUAGUGAAUUUUGUGAAUAUUUUGUGGUUGCUGAAGGCAAGGAAAAAACAGACCUUGAAAUCCACUACUGAAGCACAACAGGCACCCCACUCUGCUCUCUCACUCCAGUACAUUGCAUAGGUAAAUUAUUUUGGGCGUCAUUUUGUUGAUCAGCCUUACCUGGCACUCGCCUGCAGCCUGAGCAAAUGCCCACCGCUGUCCAUGAGAUUCAGAAAACUCUUCCAUGAAGGCUAUGUUGAGACCUGGCCCCGACUCCCCUUUGAGAGAGGCUAAAUGGACCUCACUCCUUGAGGUGAACCAGGCUCAGUUUGAUAGUGCCUGGGCUCAAACUGCUGCAUCUUUCAUAGGGUUUAUUGUGUUACCAGUCAGGAACUCCAGAGUCCUGUGGUUUAUCUGCAACUCCUUCAGCUCCUGACAGCAUGCCUCGGGCAGAUCACUUCAGUUCACAGCACCUUUAAUCCCUCUCCUUUUUCACACCAGUGUCAGGCAUAGCAGCUGAUGGCCUUUUGCUCUGAGGGCUUGUUCCCAUACAGCGUACUCCUGAAGUGCCUGACAGAUCUAUAUGCCGCUAUCACAGAGUUCAGGCUACUGUUUUAUGUACACUUAUUUAUAUAUAUUUAUUACUAUUUCAUUUAAUGUUUGUUCAGCUUCUGUUAUAGUUCUUUUCGAAGCAAAUUGAAAUAUAUUUGAAAUUAUUACCAUUAGUACCCGUGACCAAGAAGGCAGUGUUGCAUACUGACAUAGUUAUGAAAUUUCCUCAGUUCAUAUAAGGUGAAGGUUAAUUUUAGACUGCAGGAAAAGUACCAGAGCCAUUAAAACAGUAUGGAAGAACGUUACCAGAUGAAAAAUCGUACAAAAUAAACUUAAACCAUGCUUUCAGACAUGUCUUUCUGGACUACUUUGAUAUUAGAUUUUUUUUAUCUUGCCUGCAGGCCUGCCAGAGGUUUUCACAGCAAUCACGCUCAUUUCCAAGGAAGUCAUUCUUUCUUAGCUUAACAAUAAGGACUGUUUCUCAAGGUUUGUCAACAUACUGUGCAUAAGCACAAUAAACCUGAUCCUAUGAAAAAAAAAAAAGACACCAUCCAUUUUGCUCUUAUUAAAACAGUGGUAUAACUGCUGAUAAACCACCAUAUUAUCAUGUUGGUACGAACACAAUGUGCUGUGUUGUUUUGACACUUCUGGAUGUGUUUCUUCAUUCCCUCUGAGCUUUGUUAUGUCACUGUCAAAAUAGCUGCUGGUAGCAAAUUUUAUGACUUGUAUGGCAAAGGCUGCGGUGCCACGGAGAUGAACAAAGGAUGGAUCAAAUCAGAGACAAUCCAUCUUCCCUCCUCGCGAUUGCACUCGCCCUUCCUUCUCUCCUUGGCAGACUCUGAGGCUCUGCGGCAGAGCAUUGCACUGCUGCAGGAACCACAGCCACAUUAAUGCUGUGCUGGAUGCCUUCAUACGCUAUUCAUCCUUGUGAGGAUACUUUUGAUGCAGCUGUAAUUCACUGGAUCUAAUUUAGCAGGGUCGGUGUACAG